rnacentral:rRNA from 1 species
UACGAGGGGGGCAAGCGUUGUUCGGAAUUAUUGGGCGUAAAGGGCGCGUAGGCGGUGCGGUAAGUCUGAUGUGAAAUCUCCGGGCUCAACUCGGAGUCUGCAUCAGAAACUGCCGUGCUCGAGUGUGGGAGAGGUGAGUGGAAUUCCCGGUGUAGCGGUGAAAUGCGUUAGAUAUCGGGAGGAACACCUGUGGCGAAAGCGGCUCACUGGACCACAACUGACGCUGAGGCGCGAAAAGCUAGGGGAGCAAACAGG